CGGGAUGUGGCGCAGUUUGGUAGCGCACCUCGUUCGGGACGAGGGGGCCGUGGGUUCGAAUCCCGCCAUCCCGA
rnacentral:tRNA from 2 species